rnacentral:rRNA from 1 species
UACGUAGGGGGCAAGCGUUGUCCGGAAUCAUUGGGCGUAAAGCGCGCGUAGGCGGCCCGGUAAGUCCGUUGUGAAAGUCGAAGGCUCAACCUUCGAAAGCCGAUGGAUACUGCCGGGCUAGAGUACGGAAGAGGCGAGUGGAAUUCCUGGUGUAGCGGUGGAAUGCGCAGAUAUCGGGAGGAACACCAGUGGCGAAGGCGACUACCUGGCCUGUUCUUGACGCUGAGGAGCGAAAGCGUGGGGAGCGAACAGG